UAGGAUAGCUCAGCUGGUAGAGCAUGAGACUCUUAAUUUCAGGAUCACGGGUUUGAGGCUCACAUUGGGCAAAA